rnacentral:lncRNA from 1 species
AGAUCCACUUCAAGGAAACACUGACUUGAAAACUCUCCCCCAUGGUUUUGUCUGAACUGGCUGCCAUUCUGCAGCACACACCAGAUCCAAUUGCUGGAGUCGGGAACCCGAGAGAUACACUGCCUCUAGGACUGGGACAGAUAGCCACUGAGUACCUGCUUCAAAUCACCCUGCACGUUUUCUCUUUGGAAAGAUAAGCACUGGAGAACCAUCUCGUUACCUUCAGCAGAAAUGGAAACAAAUCAAGACAUUAAGAAUGCCGCAGUGGACAGCAGUUAUGCAAGGUUCAGCAGAGGAAGUUUUCAAGAUGGUGUGCCUCACUAGCCAGAAAUCAGAAAAGAUCGAAGCUAGCCUUUUCAUCUCAGCUGCUCCUUAAAUCAGUGCAACCCCUCCAAAUUAAUGUGAAUUGAAACUUGCAUUGCUUUUCAACUUAAUUGAAUACUUACUAUAUGUGAACCACUGCACAAAAUAGGGGAAGAAGAUGUGGGAGACAAAGAUGUGGAGCCUGUCUUCAAUAAAUUUACAGUUAGUUUCAGGGUACAUUGUUUUUCUUCUGCUGUUAAUUAGGUGUAUCCCCAAGACAAUAAAUACAUGAAUGGAAAAGUA